rnacentral:lncRNA from 1 species
CCUCGCCUCUCCUUCGUCGCUCGUCCUCGUCCUCCUCCCCGCCGGACCGCAUCAAGCCUCGAUGCCUCCCCUUCUCACAUCGCACGUGAGCACCUCGCCUCCUCCAUUCUCCCCCUCUGCUCCUGUUCGUGUUAGUGCUGCGCCCUCGCAUCCGCUCACCAUUGCGCCAUUGCGCCCAGCAGCAUCCCCUGUAAACGUCGCCGUGCCUCGUGCUCCCGCUCGCGCUCACCAUUUCGCGGCCACCUCGGCAGCUGCUCGCCGACCCGCCCCACAGUGGUCCGGCCACACCCUCCACGGCCCCGGUGUCCUCCUUUGGUGACCACUUGCUUCACCACGGCCCCACCCCACCAUGGCCCCGCUGUGGCCUCGUCGGCGCCACACCGACGCCCACCCGCUCACGCUGGGCGUCGCCCAGGUUCGCCCAGAUGGGCAACCUCGCCCGAUCCCGUUAGCCCUCCCCGUUAAGCCCCCUGGGGCCUAUGACAAAGGGGCCCCACCGCCCUAAACGUUUUAAAAUAAAAAAAUAAAAAUAAAAAUGAAUUAAUAAAAUUUAUAAUUAAUUAAUUAAUUAUUGAAUUAAUUAAGUUAAUUAAUCCUAUUUAAUUAAUCUGAUUAACUUGUUAGCUUAAUUAAACAGUAAUUAGUUUAGCAAAACCCUAAUUAACUUAAACAAAGUAUGACAGGUGGGUCCCAUUGGACCCACACAUCAGUUUGACCAGUCAACACCUCUGUUGACUGAUGUCAGCAUGCACUAUUCUGGAUAAUGUUGAAUUAAAUUAAUUAAAUAAAUUCUAAAAAUGAUUUAAAACUUUAGAAAAUCAUAUAAAAUAAACCGUAGCUCAGAUGAAAAUGUUUUCUACAUGAAAGUUGCUCAGAACGAUCAGACGAAUCCGAAUAUGUAGCCCGUUCGUCCGCCACACAUCUCUAGCAUAGCAAACACGCAACUUUCCCCCUCCGGUUCAUCUGUCCAAAAACACGAAAUACCGGGGAUACUUUCCCGGAUGUUUUCCCACUUCGCCGGUAUCACCUCCUACUGCGUUAGGGCACACCUGGCACAGUUACUUGUCAUGUCAUGCAUCGAUAUGCAUCUGUUUGCAAUGUAUUCCUUGUUUCUUCCCCCUCUUCUCUUCGGUAGACUACGAGACCGAUGUCGUUGCUGCCUCGGUCGACUACGGUGUUGACGACCCCUCCUUGCCAGAACAACCAGGCAAGCCCCCCCCUUUGAUCACCAGAUAUCGCCUAUUCUAUCCUCUACUGCUUGCAUUAGAGUAGUGUAGCAUGUUACUGUUUCGAUUAAUCCUAUUCUAUUGCAUAGCCUGUCAUUGUUGCUACAUCUGUUGAUACCUUACCUGCAAUCCUAAAUGCUUAGUAUAGGAUGCUAGUUUACCAUUAGUGGCCCUACAUUCUUGUCAGUCUACCAUGCUAUACUAUCGGGCCAUGAUCACUCGGGAGGUGAUCACGGGUAUUUGCUGUAUAUACAUAUACUAUACAAAUGGUGACUAAAGUCAGGUCAGCUCGUUGAGUACCCACAAGUGAUUCCGAUGUGGGGGAUGGAAGGACAGGUGGCUCCAUCCCGAUAGAGGUGGGCCUGGGUUCUCAAUGGCCCCCGAGUGUUACUUUGUGGCGGAGCGACAAGGCAGGUUGAAACCACCUAGGAGAGAGGUGGGCCUGGCCCUGGUCGGCGUCCGCAGUUACUUCAAAAUAACACGCUUAACGAGAUCUUGGUAUUUAAUCUGAGUCUGGACACUCGCCUAUACGCACUAACCAACUACGCUGGAAAGAUAUGGGCACUCGACGUCGUGGUAUCAGUCGAAGCCUUCGUGACGUCAGCGAUUGAGCGGCACGUGCCUGAUUGGACCGUAAGCCUGCUCUUGUAUUAAGGAGGCUAGGUCUGCUUCUGGCUGUGUACGCAACGUGCAGGUGUGCAAUGGGCGAUGGGCCCAGACCCCUACGCGCAUAGGAUUUAGACCGGCGUGCUGACCUCUCUGUUGUGCCUAGGUGGGGCUGCGACAUGUUGAUCUUCCGAGGCCGGGCAUGACCCAGGAAAGUGUGUCCAGCCAAAUGUGAUCGAGCAUGUUGGGUUAUGUGGUGCACCCCUGCAGGGAAGUUUAUCUAUUCGAAUAGCCGUGGCCCUCGGUAAAGGGACGACCCGAAGUUGUACCUUGACCUUAUGACAACUAGAACCGGAUACUUAAUAAAACACACCCAGACAAGUUCCACAGAUAACCCGGUGAUCGCUUUUCCACAGGGCAACGGGGGGAGGAUCGCCGGGUAGGAUUAUGCUAUGCGAUGCUACUUGGAGGACUUCAAUCUACUCUCUUCCACAUGCUGCAAGAAGGAGGCUGCCAGAAGUGUAGUCUUCGAUAGGACUAGCUAUCCCCCUCUUAUUCUGGCAUUCUGCAGUUCAGUCCACCGAUAUUGCCUUUUUACACAUAUACCCAUGCAUAUGUAGUGUAGCUCCUUGCUUGCGAGUACUUUGGAUGAGUACUCACGGUUGCUUUUCUCCCUCUUUUCCCCCUUUCCCUUCUACCUGGUUGUCGCAACCAGGUGCCGGAGCCCAGGAGCCAGACGCCACCAUCAACGACGACUCUUACUACACUGGAGGUGCCUAAUACUACGUGUAGGCCGCUGACGACGACCAGGAGUAGUUUAGGAGGAUCCCAGGCAGGAGGCCUGUGCCUCUUUCGAUGUGUAUCUAGUUUGUGCUAGCCUUUUUAAGGCAAACUUCCUUAACUUAUGUCUAUACUUAGAUUUUGUUGCUUUCGCUGACUCGUUUAUGUUCGGGAACUUGUAUUCGAGCCCUCGAGGCCCCUGGCUUGUAAUAUAAUGCUUGUAUGACUUAUUUUUACUUUUAGAGUUGUGUUGUGAUA